rnacentral:rRNA from 1 species
UACGGGGGGAGCAAGCGUUGUUCGGAUUUACUGGGCGUAAAGGGCGCGUAGGCGGUCGUGACAAGUCACUUGUGAAAUCUCCGGGCUUAACUCGGAACGGUCAAGUGAUACUGUCGGACUAGAGUACAGAAGGGGCAACUGGAAUUCCUGGUGUAGCGGUGGAAUGCGCAGAUAUCAGGGGGAACACCGGUGGCGAAGGCGGGUCUCUGGGCAGUAACUGACGCUGAGGAGCGAAAGCGUGGGGAGCGAUCAGG